rnacentral:rRNA from 1 species
CCUACGGGCGGCAGCAGUGGGGAAUAUUGGACAAUGGGGGCAACCCUGAUCCAGCCAUGCCGCGUGUGUGAAGAAGGCCCUCGGGUUGUAAAGCACUUUCAGUGAGGAAGAACGCCUGGUGGUUAAUACCCAUCAGGAAAGACAUCACUCACAGAAGAAGCACCGGCUAACUCCGUGCCAGCAGCCGCGGUAAUACGGAGGGUGCGAGCGUUAAUCGGAAUUACUGGGCGUAAAGCGCGCGUAGGUGGCUUGAUAAGCCGGUUGUGAAAGCCCCGGGCUCAACCUGGGAACGGCAUCCGGAACUGUCAAGCUAGAGUGCAGGAGAGGAAGGUAGAAUUCCCGGUGUAGCGGUGAAAUGCGUAGAGCUCGGGAGGAAUACCAGUGGCGAAGGCGGCCUUCUGGACUGACACUGACACUGAGGUGCGAAAGCGUGGGUAGCAAACAGGAUUAGAUACCCUGGUAGUC